AUGUCAAAAACUCUUCUCUUUGAAUUCAAUAUACAAGGAACUGCUGAUCAUUCAGAUGAUGAUGGAAAUGCAAAAAUCUUCUUGAAUGGAUCCUACCUGAAGCAAUCAACUCUUUUAAUGACUAUAAAAAGGGAGCAGGUAUACACACAUGGAAAAGGGGAUGAAGAAAAAGGGAGGCUGGUGUUGGAAGCUAUGGCAGUUGCUCGUGUUAACUGGAAUACUGAAAUGGGUUGUCUAAAAGUCCAGCUUCUGAAACAAUACUAUCAGAGGGACCAGAUCCAUUCUUAUUUGAAUUUAAUUUCUUACGACUUUUCUCUUACUUCCUCCUUCAACAAUUUUAAUGUCACCAACCUUCGCAAUGUUGAUGACUUUCUGAAUUACAAUUCCUUUUAUCUUCGUGGAGGAAAAAUCGGACUAUUCAGCAGAGCUGGAGUGGGUAAAACAAUACUCAUUAUGAAAUUGAUGAACAAUAUUUCUAAUGCUCACAGGGCGUAUCAGUAUUUGGCGAAGUGGGUGAAGGUACUCGGGAAAGAAAUAAUUUUUACAUGAAAAUGAAAGAAUCUGGAGUGAUUAAUAAAGAAAAUAUUGCUGAAUUAAAAGUGACCUUAGUUUGCAGUAAUAUGAGAACCGCCAGAAGCUCAUAUGAGUUUUGGUUUGACUGCACUAACUAUGGUGGAAUAUUUCCGAGAUGUUAAUAAGCAACAUGUACUUCUAUUUAUUGUUAAUACCUUCCGUUUUCGUCCAAGCAGGAUUCGAAGUAUCGACCUAAGUGGCUAGAGUGCCUUCCGCUAUGGGUUAUCAACCGACCCUAAGUACCGAAAUGGGUUCUUUACCAGAAAGAAUUACUUCUACCAAAGAAUGGUCCAUAACCUCUAUUCAAGCAGUUUGUAUACCUGUAGACGAUUUGACCGACCCUGCUCUUGCCAUGACAUUUGCACAUUUAGAUGCUACUACUGUACUAUUAAGAGGAUUGGCUGCCAAAGGUAUUUAUCCAGCAGUAGAUCCUUUAGAUUCAACGCCAACCAUGCUUCAACCUCGGAUCAUUAGUGAGGAAUAUUACGAAACCGCCCAAAGAGUUAAGCAAACUUUACAACAUUACAAAGAACUUCAAGACAUUAUAGCUAUCCUUGGAUUGGACGAAUUAUCUGAAGAGGAUCGUUUACUCGUAGAGAGAGCACAAAAGAUUGAGUGUUUCUUAUCACGUCCCUUUUUAGUAACAGAAGUAUUUACCGAUUCUCCAGGAAAAUAUGUUGGUCUAGCAGAAACAAUUCGAGGAUUUCAAUUGAUCCUUUCCGGAGAAUUAGAUGGUCUUUCUGAACAUGCAUUUUAUUUGGUAGGUACUAUAGAUGAAGAUACCACGAAGGCUAUGAACUUAGAAUUGGAGAGUAGUUUGAAAAAAUAACUUUAAAUCUUAGUGUACUUACCGCUAAUCGAAUUGUUUAGGAUUCAG